CGACAUGCAACGGGAGCAGGAACCUUGAGCACUGCAAGAGAAGUGUCAGCCAAGUGAGGCCAUGGCUAGAGCCAUGGAUCUUCCCUGCAGCCUGCUCUGUCUGGGUCAAAAACCCCUCUGAGGCUGUCAGCCAGCCAUUGUCAGGGUGAUGGGCUGCCCCUGGCUACACCAGCAUCUAUGGACAGAGUGGACAGGCCUGUGGAGCUGGCAGGGAGGGCUGUCCAGCAGCACGGGCACCGGAAGGGAUGGUGACACUGCACCACCAGUGCCCUUCCCUGGCUCAGCGCCCAGUGCCAACAGAACACCUUGCAGGAUCCUCAGCAGCGCAGACAACACUCCAAGAUGCCGGCCUCGGCUUGGAACGGAGCGGUGUCAUGGCGGAGACGACGGCCUUUGUCUCGCAGGGUGUGAAAGCAUCCGUUGUGCUGGCUCCACUGCGGCAGAAUGAUGUCUAAAGGGGGGAAAAGUGCUGGAAGUCCGAGUUGUGCGGCGCUGGCGGGGGAGCCCCAUCCCCAUGGUGUGCGUCCGAGGAAGGGCUCGCGGCGGAGGAGCCUGCUGGAUGCUCAAGAGCAGAGGAUCUAUCAACUGCAGACCAAGCAGAGGGAGAGGCAGGCAGACCUGGAGCAGAAAUGCAGCCAGAGCAGCAGCUCAGCCAGGACCUGGGGGCCAGCCACAAGCUACGGAAGGGAGCUUGGAGCAGCUUGUUCUAGGAGAAGACAGUGCAAUUUGGUGAUUGAUUCCUGGAGUCUGGUUGGUGCAUCCAUGCUGGGGUAUAGAGGCCACAGAUCCUGCGGCGCCUCCCGGAACACUCUGCCAGCCUCAGCCACCCACAGCCCAUGGGCUCUGGAAGCAGAAAUGGGCUCUUGCAUUCCAUCAAUGUGAGUGGAUAUUUUUCUCCCAUUAAAAUGUUUUAUUUAUUUUUGAAUACAUAUGAGUUUUGGGGGUGCACCACACCCUGUGUG
rnacentral:lncRNA from 1 species